rnacentral:lncRNA from 1 species
UUUUUUUUUCAUUUUCCUUGGUGUUCGGUGUUAUUGUUAUUUUACUGUGUAUGUCUAUAAGAACGAGAUUGAUAAAUCCUAACUUCGCAAUUACUUUAAUUUUUUCAUUUGCACUGACCAAUUUAUUAUAACUAUUCCUUAAAGACCAAAUGGAAAUACAUUGUCACGUGCACAAGUACACCUGAGGUCCUACUAGAUAAAUACAAAAUAUAAGUUCGUUAUAGAAUGUCGACAACAGGAAAUGAUUGAUU